rnacentral:piRNA from 1 species
UGCUCUGGACUCACAUCACAUCUCGCCU